rnacentral:tRNA from 1 species
GCUCCCGUGGUGUAGUGGUUAUCACGUCUGCUUUACACGCAGAAGGUCCCAGGUUCGAUCCCUGGCGAGAGCA